UCAGAAAGCGAAAGUGAAAAUAGCUUUCUGUAGUCUACAAGUUUUGUAACUUUAGAAGGGAAGACAACAUUCAUACAAAGGUAUCCUACACCUCCCGAGCUAGAACAUCAACCUUGUGAGCUAGAAUGGCAUCUGGUCCGGAAUCGGGGUCUUCUUCUGUCCAUUCCAUCAACAUCUCAGCCCAGAAUGGGGCCAGUGUCAACACUCCCAUAAUGACUGGUAACACCAUUGGAGCAAUCCAUUAUCAUACAGUCCCUUCGCCUGCAGCAUCCCAGCACACCAGCCCCUCAUCAGGCCAUGAUUUCCUGAAGACACACAAGACAGCUCUAGAGACCAGGAUGGGCAACCUUCGUCCCAUCCUUAGCGCUCUCGAGCACCUUGGGGUUCUGAGUGGGGAGGAUAGAGAGGAGGUGGACAUCAAAACCACACAGACCAAGAAGAACGAAGCUCUGCUGACAAUGAUAAUUAAGAAAGGGAAAACUGCGCAGGAACAGUUUUACCAGGCCCUGAAAAAAGCAGACCAUCUCCUGGUGGAAGACCUGGAGGGAUAGACUACCUCCUAAUACACUGCCAUAUCCAUAAUUGCCAAUUCCAUUCCGUUAUGAAAUAAGACCAAAUGUUUAGGAAUAAAUCAUGCGAAUUAGGAUAGUUUAUUUAAAUGUCAAUAUAAUAUGAAUUAGAAAUUAAAUGCCAAUGACAUUGUCUUAUCUGUCAUACCAUGAAUCAAUAAACAUGUUCUUGUGUCUAGGGCUGAGGUGGCCCUAGCUGCACUGCAGAUAUAUUUUGAUUCCAUAUAUGAUUCCACAGGGGCAGGUGAUCCCUGUGGAUUUGAUAUUACCCCUAUUCAUUACAUGAACCAAGGCCUAAUAGUGGACUAUUUCAGCUUCCUCUGGCUGUGUGUCGUUGCUUACAUUUUCUUGUUUUAUUUGUUUAAAUAACGUAUGCUGUAUAAUAUAAACAGUGCCUUCAGAAAGUAUUCACAUCGCUUUACUUUUUCCACAUUUUGUUGUGUUACAAAGUGGAAUUAAAAUGGAUUUAAUUGUAAUGUUUUUGUCAACGAACUUCACAAAAGGCCAGGCAACAACUCUCAGGUCAGAGACCUAUAUGUGUAUGUGGGCUCUGGUAUGAUUUCCAAACCCGUAGGGAUCAGUGUAAGGAUCAUCUUUGGUAACAAUCAACCCCACUCUCUGUAUAGAAUUGGACCCCAUUUCAUAUCAAUGUCAGUAAAAAAGAUACAUCCUG